GGCUCAGGAUUAACGGCUGGCGGCGUGCCUAAUACAUGCAAGUCGAAUGGUAGCAAUACCAUGGCGAACGGGUGAGUAACACGUAGGUAACCUGUCUUUAAGACGAGGAUAACCGUUGGAAACGACGGAUAAUACUCGAUAGGUGAUUUGAGGGCAUCCUUGGAUCAUUAAAGAUUUAUCACUUAGAGAGGGGGCCUGCGGCGCAUUAGCUAGAUGGCGGUGUAAUGGACCACCAUGGCGAUGAUGCGUAGCCGGACUGAGAGGUUGAACGGCCACAAUGGAACUGAGAACGGUCCAUACUCCUACGGGAGGCAGCAGUAGGGAAUUUUCGGCAAUGGGCGAAAGCCUGACCGAGCCAACGCCGCGUGAACGAAGAAGUAUUUCGGUAUGUAAAGUUCUUUUAUCGGGGAAGAAAAUAUUCAAAUUGACGGUACCUGAUGAAUAAGCUCCGGCUAACUACGUGCCAGCAGCUGC
rnacentral:rRNA from 1 species